CUUAAUGGCAAUUCUACUGACGACUUUACUCGCCAGCGUCAAAUUACUGGCAAAAGGCAGAGGCAAGAUGAUAAGUGGGAACACGAUCUCUAUGACGAGGAUGAACCACAUGUUUCAAAUCUCAAAGUCAGUUCUCAAGAUCUUCGACUGAAGCUUCAAAAGAAGAAUCUCCCACAAGCGUCACAAACCGGAAGGGGUUCAGUUUCAGGUAUGUGGGAUUUACGUGAAAAGCUCUCUGGGACUAUGAAUUCACAACCAGCAAAUGCUGAUCCACCCAAACGAAAAUUGGAGACUGCUAAACCAGCUAUAAGAAGUGUUGCAGUUGACGCACCUGAGCCAGAGAUUAAAAAGGUUUCUAGUGUGGCUCCUAGAAAAAAGUCUCAGCAAAAGGCUGAUACUUCAAUAGAAGGUUUUCUGCAAUC
rnacentral:misc_RNA from 1 species